GAUGAACGCUGGCGGCGUGCCUAAUACAUGCAAGUCGAGCGAACAGGCGCGGCGCUUGCUGCUCUGACGUUAGCGGCGCACGGGUGUGUAACGCGUGGAUCCCCUACCUAUCUGACUGGUAUAAUUUCGGGAAACCGGAGCUAAUACCGGAUGAUAUCUUGCAGCGCGUGGUGCGAUGGUGAGAGACGGUUUUGGUGGCACUUCUAGCUGGAUCCCGGCCGUAUGAGCUAGUUGGUGAGGUAACGGCUUACCAAGGGGACCAUGCGUAGCCGAGGUGAGGGGCGGAUCGGCCACCUGGGAACGGGACCAGCGUCCAGACUCCUGAGGGACGCAGCAGUAUGGAACGUUCCGCAAUGGGCGAAAGCCUUACGGAGUGACGGCGCGUGAGUGAUGAAGGUCUUCGGAGCGUAAAACUCUGUUACGAGUGAAGAACAAAUGUGUAAGUAACUAUGGCCGUCUUGACGGUACCUAAUCAGAAAGCCACGGCUAACUACGUG
rnacentral:rRNA from 1 species